rnacentral:rRNA from 1 species
CCUACGGGAGACAGCAGUGAGGAAUAUUGGUCAAUGGGCGCGAGCCUGAACCAGCCAAGUAGCGUGAAGGAUGACUGCCCUACGGGUUGUAAACUUCUUUUAUAAAGGAAUAAAGUGAGGCACGUGUGCCUUUUUGUAUGUACUUUAUGAAUAAGGAUCGGCUAACUCCGUGCCAGCAGCCGCGGUAAUACGGAGGAUCCGAGCGUUAUCCGGAUUUAUUGGGUUUACAGGGAGCGUAGAUGGGUUGUUAAGUCAGUUGUGAAAGUUUGCGGCUCAACCGUAAGAUUGCAAUUGAUACUGGCAGCCUUGAGUACAGGUGAGGUAGGCGGAACUCGUGGUGUAGCGGUGAAAUGCUUAGAUAUCACGAAGAACACCGAUUGCGAAGGCAGCUUACUAAACUGCCACUGACACUGAUGCUCGAAAGUGUGGGUAUCAAACAGGAUUAGAUACCCUUGUAGUC